rnacentral:rRNA from 1 species
GAUGAACGCUAGCGACAGGCCUUACACAUGCAAGUCGAACGGUAACAGGGAGCUUGCUCCGCUGACGAGUGGCGAACGGGUGAGUAAUGUAUCGGAACGUACCAUUCAGUGGGGGAUAACGUAGCGAAAGUUACGCUAAUACCGCAUAUUCUGUGAGCAGGAAAGCAGGGGAUCGCAAGACCUUGCGCUGAUUGAGCGGCCGAUAUCAGAUUAGCUAGUUGGUGAGGUAAAGGCUCACCAAGGCGACGAUCUGUAGCGGGUCUGAGAGGAUGAUCCGCCACACUGGAACUGAGACACGGUCCAGACUCCUACGGGAGGCAGCAGUGGGGAAUUUUGGACAAUGGGGGCAACCCUGAUCCAGCCAUGCCGCGUGAGUGAAGAAGGCCUUCGGGUUGUAAAGCUCUUUCGGCCGGGAAAAAUCGCAUCAGUUAAUACCUGGUGUGGAUGAUGGUACCGAAUAAGAAGCACCGGCUAACUACGUGCC